CCCACCCGUGUUUAUUUUACCUUGUUGCUUCGGCGGGCCCGCCUUAACUGGCCGCCGGGGGGCUUACGCCCCCGGGCCCGCGCCCGCCGAAGACACCCUCGAACUCUGUCUGAAGAUUGAAGUCUGAGUGAAAAUAUAAAUUAUUUAAAACUUUCAACAACGGAUCUCUUGGUUCCGGCAUCGAUGAAGAACGCAGCGAAAUGCGAUACGUAAUGUGAAUUGCAAAUUCAGUGAAUCAUCGAGUCUUUGAACGCACAUUGCGCCCCCUGGUAUUCCGGGGGGCAUGCCUGUCCGAGCGUCAUUGCUGCCCUCAAGCCCGGCUUGUGUGUUGGGCCCCGUCCCCCGAUCUCCGGGGGACGGGCCCGAAAGGCAGCGGCGGCACCGCGUCCGGUCCUCGAGCGUAUGGGGCUUUGUCACCCGCUCUGUAGGCCCGGCCGGCGCUUGCCGAUCAACCCAAAUUUUUAUCCAGGUUGACCUCGGAUCAGGUAGGGAUACCCGCUGAACUUAAGCAUAU
rnacentral:rRNA from 1 species